GCUCCGGACGUUGCUUGGAUUGGAACAGGGUCAACAGCCGGAGCUCAGCUGCUGACAAAAGCCAAGCCCUCUUUCAGGUCAGUUAUCAUGUACAGUGUCCCUCAGUUGGAAUUUGAUGUUUCCUCGUGAUUAUAUUCAGGUUUGAAACCUGAGGUUCAGUGAGCCCUCGAGAGCUGGGCCUUGAACACAGCCCCUCUCCCACACAACAGAGGUAAGGGCACGAUAUACUUCUCUUUCUGCCAAGUGUGUUAAGGGGGCCUGCCCGCUAGCAUCAUAGCUGACCUGGUAGUUUGCUGGUGUUUUUAGAUGUGAGAGGCCCAAGGGCUGCAGAGAAGAGCCUUGGACCCUGAACCUAGUGAGAAUGUGGCCCAGGAUCUCAGGAAGGUCGUCUCUCAACCUUCUUAUUUGUAAAAAUAGUAGGAAAUCAUCCAUCCUGUGGUUAUGUAAAAGAAUAUCUUUAUUCUUAAGAAGCUUAUAUAUAUAUGCCUCACCUCUGCAAAUUCUGAAUUAUUUUUACAAGGACAAUUUUAUAGUCUUUUUUAACUGAACAUCCGUUUUAUACCCUGUUGUACAUCUGGUACACAUUCCUUGUAAGUGUAAUUUUAAUGACUUCCAGCAUUCCACUUUGUGUCAUAAUUUCUAUUCUCCUGUUGAUGGACACUCAAAAGGAAGAAGGGGAUUGAUAUUAACUCAGCAUGAACUUGGUACCAGGUGCUAUCCACCACAGGCUUAGCAUUAUCUUAUUUAACCCUCACGAUCCUACUAAGAUAAAUAUUUUUACCCAUGAUGUGUGGAUGAGGAGCUUAUACUAAGCCAACCUCAUUCAACUAGGGAAGAUCCAGGAUACAAUUCCAGGCUCUGACUCCUCAGCCCACGCUGUGUCUCUGCUCGUGCUGUCCCUCAGUUUUCUUCAUACCUAAAAGCUUUCUUUUUAUCCUCCUCUAACUUCGCAGCUUUUUUUUUUUUUCACAGCUCUUUUUCUGUACUGCAGUUUCUGUUAUAUUGUUAUUAAUUCCAUGUCUCAACUCUGAGGUUGGACUAUGGACUCUUUAAGGAUAGGUUAACAGCAUGUUCAUCUCUGGAAGAGACUCACCUCAACAAGCUUAGCCCAGUGCCUUGCAUAUAGCAGAAGCUCCCAUCACUUAUUCUUUCAACAAAUCCUGUAUCUAUGGAGGGCCUAGUAUGCCCCAGGCAGUGUUCUAGAUUCUUGGGACAUGUCAGCAAUUCAGUAUACAGCGAAGCUUACAUUCUGGGGGAGGGCGAUGUAUGAUAAAGAAUGUAAGGGAGUUCCCGUUGUGGCGCAGUGGUUAACGAAUCCGACUAGGAACCAUGAGGUUGCGGGUUCG
rnacentral:lncRNA from 1 species